AUACUUACUUGGCAGGGGAGAUACCAUGAUCACGAAGGUGGCUUUCCCAGGGCGAGGCUUAUCCAUUGCACUCCAGAUGUGCUGACCCCUGCGAUUUCCCCAAAUGUGGGAAACUCGACUGCAUAAUUAGUGGUAGCAGGGAACUGCAUUCACACUUUCCCCUG
rnacentral:snRNA from 1 species